rnacentral:misc_RNA from 1 species
UGUUGCAAUUGUUGAUGAUGGAAAUUUGCAAGCUGAGUCUGAUUCUGGAUCAUUCUGGGUUUUGUUUGGUGGAUUUGCUCCAAUUAGCAAAAAGGUUAUUACUGAAGAUGAUAUUGUUCCCGAGAAGACACCUCCUAAACUUAGCAGCAUCACUGAUGGUCAAGUCAGUCCUGUAGAUGGUGAACUUUCAAAGUCUAGCUUGGAAAACAAUAAAUGCUAUCUUUUGGAUUGCGGUGCUGAGGUGUUUGUUUGGAUUGGUCGUGUAACUCAACUGGAGGAGAGGAAAGCUGCCAUUCAAACUGCAGAGGAAUAUCUUGUCUCUGAAAAUAGACCCAAGGCAACGCGUGUAACCCGGGUUAUUCAAGGUUAUG